AAAUGUGGUAUGACUGCAGUUUGAAUGCUGCAAAGUUCUGUGUUUGAAUAGAAACUGUUAGCUACAUCACGGACUGCAUCUUUACUUUUCUGUGGCUGCCAGUGCAUGCAGUUAGAAGCUGGCGAGAGGAUGGAAGUGCAGGUGCAUAUAAUAGACAGAAAUCUUCUCAGCAGCCUAUGAAACAAACAUUCACACAGGGAUAGCCUCCACUUGCUCUCAUGCAGCCUCUUGUGAGGAACAGGGUAACAUAAGGCCUGCAUUCUGUCCUCAGUCCUGCUCAGGACAUUUAUAAGCAGUCACUCUCCAACUACCCUGCGAAGGGCACCUACCCUGUGCAACUAACAGGGCCUGAUGGUACUAUGAACGGACCCUUAGACAAGGUCUAGAUUUGUCCCUCUCUGUGCAGCUCUCAGGCUCCCUAGAUGCUUACCUGAAACUAUUCUUACGUUUUACUAGCUUCAGAUAACUGAAGUUCCUUCUGAGAGGUUGUAAAGUUUACCUUUUGAGAGCUCUCUCUGGCAAAAUGACUUUUUUUCCCAAAGAAAAUCUAUGUUCUUCAUCUCCAAAUCUAAUUAAGUGCAUCUACAAAAACUAAAAGCUGACACUUCACUGCUUAAUAGCUGUAAGCAAAUUAAAAAGUGGUGCCAAAAAAAGUAAAGAUUAACAAAUUUCUAUUCACGGUAAAGUAAGCAGGGCAAAUUAUGUGUUCAUUUAAUGAGUAAAUAUAUCCCUUAAUCUGUCACAAAGAAUGAUUUCAGGAUUAGAAUACGCAAAGUGUAUCCAGGAGGACCAAGCAUCUGAUGGCUGCAGGAGUGCGACCAUUCGGAACGGCCGCUACAGAUGGUGAGAAGCAGGAGCAGCGCUCGGACGCCCGCCAGCCCGCCACGGACACGGACACGGACACGGACACGGACACAGCGCUCACCGGCAGAGAACUGUGGUACUUGAAAUCGUCAGUAACUGAGGUGAGGACAAAAGCGUGCAGAGAAAUUCUAAGUGAAAAAUCACAGAAAAGCUCGCUCACAGGUAGCGAAGCUUCAGGCUCCCCGGCCUGGCUGAAUGAGAACCGGGAUGGCCAGAGCAGCCGGUGCUUGGCAGGGAGCCGGGACAGCACGCUGCAAGGGGCGAGACGGCCCCUCCUAAGCUCUGGCUCCGUGGUCCCGAUCCUGCCCUGGUGCCGCUUGAAUUUUUCAUGUCCCAGUGGUUAAGUGCACCCGCUGCCCUCUCCCUGCAGAUGCCCCCGUGUUGCAGACCCGGCUGCAGAACCGCUCCGACAGAGAAGCGCGCCGCUCCUCUUCCUCCUGCCUCGCGUUCCCGCACGGUUUCCGAACUCCGCGCUCAGCGAGCGCCAGGAGCUCCGCGAGCAGCCGCGCGCUACCAGCAGCGCGCAACCCCCGCGGGCCGCGUUGCGCGGGCAGCCGCGAGCCGCGCACUGACCCGGCGGGCGAGAGGGGCGUCGCCGCGGCCUCCCGGAGGCGCCGCCGGGCGGCAGAGCCCCGCGGGAGCGGUCCCGCCGCCCGGCCCUGACUGACGGGCGGCGCAGCCCCGCGCCGCGCCGCGCCCGCGCCGCGCCCGGCGCCACUCACCGGAGAGCAGAGGCUCGCGGCAGCAGCUCAGCGCCAGCCCCGCCACGGCCAGGGCGGCGGCGAGCGCGGGGGGCUCCAUGGCGGGGCCGCCGCGCCGCGGCUCCGGGCAGGGGCGCUGGCGGCCGCCGCGAAGAGCGCCGAGUGCGGGAAGCGGAGGCCCUACAGCGGGUGCCGUAACCGCGCCCCGGCGAGGUGCCGAGCGGCAGAUGAGGGAUCCUAUUACCAGCCAUGUGACAGGAAAGGAUAGAAGCCGACACCCCAACCUGCCGCAGCGCCGGGCCGCGGAACUGCUGCUCCUGCGUGUGACACGAGGGGCCCGGGCUCCGCGGGGCCCUGCCGGCGCGCGGGGCCGCCUCCCGCCGCCUUCCCGCACACCGUCUCCCGCCCGCGGCCGGGGCAGAGGCCGGGCAGGAGCCCGCCAGCGCCGCGGCGCACGCGAGGGCUCCGCUGGGGCCGGCCGCUGUCCCGCCGUCGGGCCCCUCCGCGGGCACGGGAGACGCGCUCGCCCGCCGCCGGGCCGGGUCGCGGGGGCCGCGUCUGCCGACAGACGGGGGGAGCGGACGCGGCACACCUUGCUUUGCUUCGAGGGAACGGAAGCAAACCAGCCGUGCAAAACCGCCGCAGACCUCGCGCUCGCCGCGUGCCGCUUCGCGCCCGGGCCGGGCCGGGCCGGGGGAGGGUUCGCCGCUCAGGACGGGAGCGGGGGGGAGGCCGAACCGCGUCGAACACGGCGGCUGGCCGGCGGAGCGCCCCGGGAGGGGCACAGCCGCGGGGACGCACACGCGCACAGGCACAAGGACAGCCGGGCACGGACACAAGGACAGCCGGGCACGGACACAAGGACAGCCGGGCACGGACAGAGACCCCGAGACACACGCAGACACACGCACAUGCAUAGAGACAGGCGCGCACACCCACCCACCCACAGGCCCCAGCUAACGGGCUGCGGAUCACAUUGGGGCGACACUGUCGAAGGACAGGUAUCAGGAUUACUGGCAGUACGGUGACUGCACACGCAGGGUAAAUGCUGAAGUAUUGAGUUCCUCCUCAAACAUACUAUGUUUAUGUAUGUUCGGUUAUUUGGUUCACACAUUCUGGUAAAGCUGCUGGAGCCUGAAUUGUGGUUGCACAAGAGCUCUGUGAGAAGAGAUGAUUUUGUGCCCACUAAGAGAGAGAGAGAGAGAGAGAGAGAGAGAGAGAGAGACAUCAGCUAGGCAACUGGAGAUUACUUUGCUGGGAGUGUUAGAAGACUGACCAGAAGGAGCAGUUGGGGCCGGGGGGGGGGGGGGGGGGGUGUCUGUUUUUGCCACUGCUUCGUUUAUAAUGCACUAAGCUGGAUAAUUCUGAUUCUCAAAUUAACAUACAAUUUUUUCAGGAGGAAGGCCAGAAUCUAGUUUAUUCCAUAUAUUCCCAUCCCAGUCUUUGGCACAGACAAUUCACUAUCUGUGCAUGCAGCACUUCGACUUCCUUGUGGCACGUGCUGUCUAACAGCAUAUGAAACAUUAUUGCUUUGUGUUUUAGUAACCCACAGAAUUCUCCCGUCCAAGGAUUAGGCCCACACUGUGUUACUUAUUCAGCUGAUUUGGAUCCCAUUUGGUCUGGCACGCUGUUCCUUAGGGACCCUGGGACAGAGAAAGCUUGCAAUCUUUAAACACUAUAUUGACCCCCAAGUUCACAAAAUCAGCCUCUUAUAUCUCAGAAAAGCCCAGUCCAGUCUUCCAGCACUUCUAGGCAAAAAUCAUCUUGGUUCAUUCAGCUGCCCAUGUUCUCCACUCAGCCACUGCACACACAGCUGAGGGGUGUGUGUUUGUACACACUAGUUGCACCAUUUUUUUUUUCUCACUGGAGCACAGUGGCAGUGAACAGUUUGUUGCCUCUGGUCAUUCUCCAGUCUUCUUUCAAAGUUCCUAUUUACAAGAUUUUUAUUUCUGUUCUAUAAAAUUGUUUGCAUUUCAACUUACUGUAUUUGAGAUUACUCAUUCUCAUUUUGUAAUUUUCUGCUCAUAGUUUCUGGUCUCUGUUUAAAAACAACAAUGACAACAACAACCGCAGUGCCUGUCUCCCCCAAGGCCCAGCAUCCCUGCUCUGUCACACACUGCCGAAGACUUGAGAUGCUCCAAUCACCCAAAGAAGUGACCCAAGGAUAAGUAGCAAUCUUUCUGUAUGAGCAACAUUUAGUGAAAUUACAGAAUACUGAUGACUCGCUGUUAUCCCUGUGCAAUUAUCCAUUUCUUUUUUCUAGUAGGAUGGAGUACGUUACAGAAGCAAAAGGAGAAACCGGGCAAAUGUUCAGGUUGCCUCCAGGUUAAUGUUGUUUCUAAGUUCAUGUUAAUGAAUAAAGCAGUUCAGUUGAGUUCUUACCUCUCCUUUCUACACAAAAAAAUCAGACGUGCCAGGACUACAAGACCGACAGCUCCAAAUACACAGCCAAGCACAAUUACUUGCUUGACAUCUGCAAAAAAAGAAAACCACAACAAAACAGGUUGCAGACUAGCAGUUGGUCAGUUCUGUCACUUCCCUACCGUUGUAGGACAGUGAGAGCAGGAUUCUGUAUGGCUGUGUCAUUCUCCUGGAAACCAUAGCUAAAUAAAAAUUUCACAGUAAAUCCACCUGACACUUCUCAUCUGAAAAAAACUAAUGAGAUUUCUGCCAGCUUUCCAAAAAAGAAUGAACAGACAAAGGCACAGAAAAUGAAGCUGAGGUUUCUACACACAGCAGUGGUGGAAGAAUUCAGAUGAUGCAAAGAAAUGUAUUCAGUGUUUGUCAAAGUAUCCCGCCAGUGCAGAGCUGUCCUGGUACAAUGAUGAUUCAUCCUGGUAAGUUUACAGACACAUGCAGUAGCAGUUGAGCAAAGCUUCCUUUAAUAGUCUCAACUAUUUAGAUACCGUGCAGAAAGAAGUGUAGCAGUGGAUGUUUUGUUUAAUGUCAUCUCACCUGACUUCAGACUUUCUACUAGCCGCUUGUGAUUCUGAUGAGAUAGUUUUGUUGAAUGUCCUACUUGAAGACUUCUGGUUGUCAGGACAUCGAAUCUGCAGAAUGGGUCAGAGUCACAGAGCAAGACCAUGUCUUUCACCAAGGGAUCAGCAGAGUCUUCAUAAGGAAAGAACACUGGCAGAAAAGAAGAGUUGUGCUUUUCCCCAUAAAAGAAAUUGUUCAAUAAGAACUCUGUGUCGUAGGUAAAAAGGGAAGUUCCAUUUUCAACAGCCCCUUGGGAGACAGAGAAAGAGACAGAUUCAUGUAUAACUUUACCUACAGGCCUAUACCAUGUUCUGAUUGUAAUCCAGGUGCUUAUUUAUGUAAACAUAGCUAGAGCUGGAAAAGACCUAUGAAGCCCUACUUAGUAUAUCUUCUUCCCAGAGUUCAAGAUCAUUUUUCUUUUUACUAGUACCAUCUUAACCCAGCGCUAAGGUCAGUGUUCGGUUACCUGGUGUUUGAUAAGUUACCUAAAAUCAGAUCCAAAUAAUUGUGUAGCUAUGAUGUUAUAUAAAGAUGGUUUUUAGAGGCCCGCUGGCAAAAUGGUGAUAAAAGAUAUCUCAGACAGAGCUAGCUAAACCAAACGUUCCAAGCAACACAAAUCCAGAUUCUAUUUGUCCAUAAUUUAUCAUUUCUGGUAUGGUCCUGCUCUUUGCUUUUACUGUGCUACAGGGGAAACUUGCUGAAGUAGGAGCAGUGAGACUUUUCAGUGUGAUCUGAAUCUUGGUGUAUGACCACACUGUGCUUGAUACAGCGAGUGACUGGUAGCCAGAGCGUAUUUUGUAUCAUGUUUCUGGCUCAUCUGCUCACCAUACGGCAGGAAGAGUGCAGACAGUUUAACUCUGCAGGCUAGACAUAGCCUAUUCAUUUUCAUCAAAUGAAAGCAGAUACUCUUUUAUCUUUUUAAAAAGGGACAAUUAUUAAGUUGUGAUUUAAUACUUGAUUAUUAAAAUUGUCAGCAUAGUACUUGAUGGAAACAUUGCUAAUUUUCUGGAAGAAGAUAGCUGACCCUGGAUAUUGCUGUACUUUUGUGACACUUCAGUGUCCUGUGUCCAGCUGGCCACAGUAGAUGGAACUCUGAAAGUGUAAGCUGUCAAAUAUGGAUGCUGUUGAUGGAGUAAAGAGCAGGAGGCUACCUCUUGGCUCUGGCUUCAUCUGUUUUGGUUAGAUAUUUCACCCACUUGUAUAAAGAAGGUCACACUUCUCUUCCUCCCUUUUCUCCUCCCCGUACAGGGUGCUUAGCAUAGAUGUAAUUUUCUAGUCUGUAAAUCAGAAACCAUUUUGAAUUUGCAAAGAAAAUGAAAUUACAGGUUAGAGAAAUCACUUACAGUCAGCUCCAAACUCAAACAGCUGCUGGGGAUUGGCAUCAACUGAUAAGGUUGUUUUGUUCUUGAAGGUAUACUCAUCCUCUGUAUUACCAUUCAUUACCCCAAAGAGACCCUGUGUGUGAUCGAUAAACUUUUCUGGGAGCAGGACUGUCAGUGUCAGAAAUCCUCCACUUCCUCUUAUUUCCACUCCAGCCCCAGAAGAGAACAUCACUGUGAUGUUCUGAUCAACUGUAGAAUGGAGAAAGAGACCUAUAACAAUGAGAGGGAGAGGAGAAAAUAGCUCAUCAUCCAUAGUAAACAGUUUGCUCUGUCACCAGUUUUACCCAUUUUUCCUAAAGGAUGUCCUCCCUCUCUGGGUACAUUCUGAGAGGCUUUUAAAGGGAGGCUGCACCUUCACACCAUCAAUUUUGGGAUGAGAAGAGGAGCACAACUCUGAAACUUUUGGGACUGGAGCAGUAGAUUUGUAAUCAGUAUCUUUCAAGGCUGAUACUUGUAUCUAACCUUUUAAGUCCAUCCAACUUUGCUCGGAGAAGUUGACCACCAUUUGGUUCAACAGGACUUCCAUAUUCAGAUCCUCUGAGUAGCGUACCUCAAUCACAUCAGAGUUGUUCUCCUGCAUGGCCACUGCAGACAAGCUUGUCACUUGAGCCUCUGUUCCUUCCGAACAGAAAAAGCAACCCCCCCCCAAAAUGCCCAACGUCAUAUAAAGUAAAUAUGGAAAGUAAUCAUACAAGGAAAAAGCAGAUAUUUGCUAAAAAUAAAUAUGAUUAUUUGUAUUUGAGGGAAUUGUUAAGGAUAUAAAUCACAUACAAACCCGCAAUUUAAUUCUCCAACCAAUAUAAUGUAUUGAAAGAGUAAUGUUAAAUACUGAAAAAGUCUGGAAAUACUAAAUUCUUCAACCCAAUGGCAGUGGUAUGUUAGAAGAAUGGUUUAUCUCCUUGCGUGUUCAUCUCUCUGAGUUUGGCCUAGGAAAACCCGUGAUAUCACAGAAGGCAUGUCAAACAGAGGAAACGGAACAAAACAGCAGACAGGAUUAGGGAUGAACGAGAACUAAGCAGCUGAUCUCAGAGUAUAAUACAGUACCAGUAUGGUAAACUUGAGGCUGGACUGCUUAGUGACUCAGGUCACUUCUCCCACAGCCACAGCAAAAUGUAUCAGCCUAAUAUUUCCCUGAUAAUUAAUCCCUGUGCUAUUCAGCAUGAUAUACUUGAAUGCUGUUACCCACAGACGAUUUUUAAUCGGUCCUAACAAUUUUACCGGAAGUACCAAAUUCUUAAAUGGCAUCCCAGAUGUCAGCUGGAAUAUUCUUUCCUGAAGCCAACCUGUUGUUUUAUUCUCCGUGGGUACUAGAUAUGGGAAAAGCAUAAAUGAAACUCUGAUAUAAGGCUUUUCAGGUUGUAAUGAGAAAUGAGGUGCCAUUCAGCUGUUCUAUACUCAUUCUUCCCUCAUUGUAAAGUGUGGGUAUAUGAUCGUCUCCAUCUGACAGGCUGGUUUGCAGUCUGCCCAGUCAGAUGAUGAAGGCCACAGGUACUUCUGGGUUUUGUGCCCUAGGCUUUGUUUUACAAACAAGCCAAAAGAACAGGACGAUCAGGUGCAUUGAACAAAAAUUAUUCCCUCAGCCACCUUCAUGUCAGACAUUCAGCAUUUUUCUGCUAGCUUGGGGUAUUAAGAGAAUUUUUUUCCGCACUCAAAAGAUGUUCUCUCAGUUCCUUCUGGGACGUUUUUUUCCUCUGUUGACACAUGCAUACCUCUACACACAACACAGGAGGAAUAUAAAACAGGACAUGCACUUACCUGCUUCCUCUUAAUUACCAGCUACAGUAUUAUCAGAAUGCAUCAGCUGGGAGUUACGCUUGCUGACUGAUUCCUAGAAUUGACCUCAUGUUUCCUUACAGAUGGGGGUGGAGAGAAAUGGGAGCUGUUUUCUCAAGUUCUUAAAGGUAACACACAUCCUUAAGCUUUCAUUAUUCAAACCCAACAAAACUAACAAAUAACCUUUGAUCAGGAAGUUAUUUUUUCCCUGGACAUCUUGACUGCCUUUUGAUUAGAUUCAAAACGCUGAUCUUUCAUAAAUGGCCAACUUGCCUGGGAAAAAAAAGACAUUCUUUUUCUUAAAGCUUUGGCAAUCUCAGUAAUAAAAAGGACACUAGCGUGCUCUUUCCAUCUUUGCGAAAUAAUGCUUUCUGUAACUAAAGUUCAGAAAAAUGUUUCCAUUUAUUUUCUUAUGCUGCUUAAAAAAAAAAGCUGUUCUUCCUUUCUUGCUUUUGUAUACUGCUAAAAGCACUUCCAGACUUGCAUACCCAAAGGCUUAUCUUUCUUCCCAUGCAUGUAUCUCAGCUGGCCUGAAAAGAGGUACCUGACCCUACAGCUUUUCAUUUGAACUUCAGUACUUCUCACAGGCGCUCUUUCCUCCAGAUCACGCAGGAAUUACCUGCAUCUUGCUACCUCUUUUUACAUUAUGCAACACAAAGGAGAUUCUAUUAAUAUCUAACCUCCACUACAGAUACCUUUGAUCUUCCCAUCCAGAAGAAGAGGGAAGAAGGUCAUUCUCCUCCAGCCCCCAACCAAAAAAGCUGCGGAAAUUGUGCCAUCUUACCUGCGAUGUGAACCGUAACGUGCUUAAAGAAAUCCAUAUGACAGUUCCUUCUUAACAGCUGAGCAGAGAAGGAAGGCAGAAGGAAGCAGAGGAUCAGAAAUAGUGGAUUACAGACUAUGGACCAAAACUCCAGAAAAAAAUGGAAGGGCUUGCAGCAAAUUAUGGUACACCAGAAGGAAAUGCAGUCUAGUUCUUUUGGCAUGGGAACGUACUAGGAUAUUGACUACAGACACAGACUGCCAACUUGUAGGACAUUGCCGAAAUCAUCCCUGCUCCCAGCUCCAUAGGGCUUACUGUGCCCUCCCUGAGUGUUUUUUUAUCCGUCUGUUGAAUCACUGUCUUAAUUCCCUGUUUGAAGAUGGUUUCAGCUGGGUGUCCUACAGGCACUUUUUUAUUCAUACUGCCCUGAUAAGCUCUAUUUGCCUCUGCCAUUUGACAUGCUACUUAUGCAAAUUUAAAUAUAUUUGUAUUUCUGUAUAUUGAAUUUUAGAGGGAACAGGGGUGUGUGGGGAGUGGGGAAGUACAAGAGUCCCUAAACUCCUACUUGGAACCAUAAUAAAACAGACUGUUCUAUUUACUAACUUACAUGGAAC